UACGAAGGGUGCAAGCGUUACUCGGAAUCACUGGGCGUAAAGCGUGCGUAGGCGGUUGGUUAAGUCUGCUGUGAAAGCCCUGGGCUCAACCUGGGAACUGCAGUGGAUACUGGCUAGCUAGAGUGUGAUAGAGGAUGGUGGAAUUCCCGGUGUAGCGGUGAAAUGCGUAGAGAUCGGGAGGAACACCAGUGGCGAAGGCGGCCAUCUGGAUCAACACUGACGCUGAGGCACGAAAGCGUGGGGAGCAAACAGGAUUAGAUACCCUGGUAGUCCACGCCCUAAACGAUGCGAACUGGACGUUGGUUGCAACUUGGCAAUCAGUGUCGAAGCUAACGCGUUAAGUUCGCCGCCUGGGGAGUACGGUCGCAAGACUGAA
rnacentral:rRNA from 1 species